CGGUUCGCCUGCGCAGGGCAACUGUAUGAAAUCCGCAACCUGGGCGGCCGUCUCCUGGUCAAGGGUGCUCAUCACGUGGUAGUAACGCAUGGAAUCAGAAGAUAUCUGCCAAAUCUGGAACUGGGCUUCUGUUUGGCUAAACCACACUCGUGGUCGUAGCGUCCAGAAAGUCGGCAGUUUUAGUGAAACUGCGUGAACAAAUGAAGAGUCGGUCAUCUUUGGUCCAAAUCCUGUUUGGACCGUCAGGGUCACCAAUGUAAUGAUGUGCUACACACGGCGCUGAAAUAACGACACGCAGUCGGAGGAAGAAAUUGGUGUUCAUCGGCCAGUGCAUAUUAAGGGAUUGGAGGUGCAAAGGACCAGUAACUUAAAAUUCAUUGGCGUUACCAUAUCAGAGAAUCUGUCCUAGGACCGACACAUAAGUGCCAUUUCAAAGAAAGCAUAGCAGUGCCUCAACUUUCUUAGAACUUUGCGUAGAUUCAGCAUGCCAUCUAAAACUUGGACAAAGCUCCAUUGAUGCACAGUGGAGAGUAUUGCAUCCCAGCCUGCUGUGGAAACACGUGCCCAAGGGUAGAAAAGCCUACAAACUGUGUUGGAUAUAGCCCAGUUCAUCACAGGAAAAGCCCUCCCCACCAGACAGAGAGUAUAUCUACAAAGAGCCACAAGAAAGUAGCAUUCAUCAUCAAGGACCCCCUCCAGGCAUCUCUCUUCUCACUGCUACCAUCAAGAAGGAUGUACAGGAACCUUAGUUUAAUAUCACCAAGUUCAGGAACAGUUACUACACCUCAACCAUCAGGCUCCUGAAUCAAGGUGGACAUCUUCACUUAUUACAACACUGAACUGAUUGUUGAACACAACCUGCUGACCCACAUUCAAGGACUCUAUAACUCAUGCUCUUAGUAUUUACCUUUCUAUCUGUCUGCCUGUCUACUUGUUUGUUUAUUAUUAUUACUUAUUUCUUGUAUUUGCAGUUUGUUAGUCUUUGUGUGUAGUUUUUCAUUGAUUCUAUCGUACUUUGUUCUAGUGUGAAUGCCUGCAAGAAAACCUAUCUCAGAGUUGUAUUUGGUGACAUACUGUA